rnacentral:rRNA from 1 species
GACGAACGCUGGCGGCGUGCCUAAUACAUGCAAGUAGAACGCUGAAGGAGGAGCUUGCUUCUCUGGAUGAGUUGCGAACGGGUGAGUAACGCGUAGGUAACCUGCCUGGUAGCGGGGGAUAACUCUUGGAAACGAUAGCUAAUACCGCAUAAGAGUAGAUGUUGCAUGACAUUUGCUUAAAAGGUGCAAUUGCAUCACUACCAGAUGGACCUGCGUUGUAUUAGCUAGUUGGUGGGGUAACGGCUUACCAAGGCGACGAUACAUAGCCGACCUGAGAGGGGGAUCGGCCACACUUGGACUGAGACACGGCCCAGACUCCUACGGGAGGCAGCAGUAGGGAAUCUUCGGCAAUGGACGGAAGUCUGACCGAGCAACGCCGCGUGAGUGAAGAAGGUUUUCGGAUCGUAAAGCUCUGUUGUAAGAGAAGAACGAGUGUGAGAGUGGAAAGUUCACACUGUGACGGUAUCUUACCAGAAAGGGACGGCUAACUACGUG